rnacentral:lncRNA from 1 species
CAGUCAUUACAUUAGCUCCAUCACUUGCCAGACACACUAGUUUCUGCUUCCAGUUGAUAUCACAUUUAUCUAAUACCUUGAUCACUGCUUCCAUGUAACCAUCAGCUGUAGCACUGGCUAAGGGAAUAAUACUGAUAAGUCUUGUGCUUAUAGAAACUGUUGCAUUAUUACUGCUACUUUCUGGUAUGUUAACAUAUCUUAUACAAAUAGCUAACAAUCUCUUCUGUUGUGAUUGUUGUGCUUGAAUCACAUAUGAGUGAAAAGAACAUGGCUUUCCUUAAUUCUGCUACUUGCUUAUUUUGGAUGUCUGCUGCUAUAAACCCUAUGAAUUCUUUGCAGUGUUUAUCAUUUAUGUAUUGCUGCUCCAGGACAAGACUAUUUUUUCUGCAGGUCACAUAUAGUGUGAAAGUCUAUAAAUGGCAACUCUUUUACUGCAAUAACAUAAGCUGUGUUAAAGAGGCACUUCACAUGCUUAAACAUUAUUUUUGGCAUACAAGAUGCACUGCAAAGUCGC